GAUGAACGCUAGCGGCAGGCAUAAUACAUGCAAGACGAACGGUAAGCUUUGUAGCAAUACGGAGCCUAGAGUGUCGUACGGGUGCGUAACACGUAUGCAACCUACCUUUUACAGGAGUAUAGCUCGGUGAAAACCGAAUUAACCCUCCAUAACAUGACGACUGGGCAUCCAGAUGUCAUUAAAACUGCGGUGGUAAAAGAUGGGCAUGCGUUUGAUUAGUUAGUUGGCAGUGUAACGGACUACCAAGACGAUGAUCAAUAGGGGACCUGAGAGGGUGAUCCCCCACACUGGCACUGAGAUACGGGCCAGACUCCUACGGGAGGCAGCAGUAGGGAAUAUUGGACAAUGGGUGAGAGCCUGAUCCAGCCAUGCCGCGUGCAGGAAGAAGGCGUUAUGCGUUGUAAACUGCUUUAGCCAGGGGAUAAAACGCUCUGCGGAGCUAAUUGAAGUACAUGGAUAGUCA
rnacentral:rRNA from 1 species